ACGGGAGGCAGCAGUGGGGGGUUUUGCACAAUGGGGGAAACCCUGAUGCAGCGACGCCGCGUGAGUGAAGAAGUAUUUCGGUACGUAAAGCUCUAUCAGCAGGGAAGAAAAUGACGGUACCUGACUAAGAAGCUCCGGCUAAAUACGUGCCAGCAGCCGCGGUAAUACGUAUGGAGAAAGCGUUAUCCGGAUUUACUGGGUGUAAAGGGAGCGUAGACGGCAUGGCAAGUCUGAUGUGAAAGCUAUGGGCUCAACCCAUAAACUGCAUUGGAAACUGUUAAGCUUGAGUGUCGGAGAGGUAAGCGGAAUUCCUAGUGUAGCGGUGAAAUGCGUAGAUAUUAGGAGGAACACCAGUGGCGAAGGCGGCUUACUGGACGAUAACUGACGUUGAGGCUCGAAAGCGUGGGGAGCAAACAGGAUUAGAUACCCUGGUA
rnacentral:rRNA from 1 species